GUUCACUGGACAUUGUCUCUGAAGGUGGAGUGGGUUUCACAGACCGAUAACAACCCACGUAGACAGUUAGACAAGCAGUCAGGACGACAUUCACAUUAGGAUCAACCUUCAUAACAAGUGGAGCUAAUGUCAAUCCCGCUAGAGCAAAAUUUGCAAUGCGCUCAGCGUUCUUCAUGUUGGGCAGCUCUCAAUUAAAAACCUUUCACCAAAACUGAUCCGCAAAAUUAAGAUAAUUGUCUCGCAAUUGCUCCCUCAAUCAUCGGCGGCUCGAAGACUUCGAGUGGAUUUGACCACGCAGAUCGGAGAGCUCGCCGAAGAAAGAGAAGGAAUUUUAUUUCACAGAAUUUUCA
rnacentral:misc_RNA from 1 species